CUCCCGAAAGCGUUACGGUAGCGUACUUUGUUUGGAACGAAGUGGCCUAGGUUCGACUCCUAGUCGGGUGACCA
rnacentral:tRNA from 1 species